rnacentral:rRNA from 1 species
CCUUCGAUGACGACUGGCGCACGGGUGAGUAACGCGUAUCCAACCUUCCCAUAACUACGGGAUAACCCGUUGAAAGACGGCCUAAUACCGUAUGAUAUCGUUUGCUGACAUCAAAUAACGAUUAAAGGUUUAGCGGUUAUGGAUGGGGAUGCGUCUGAUUAGCUUGUUGGCGGGGUAACGGCCCACCAAGGCAACGAUCGGUAGGGGUUCUGAGAGGAAGGUCCCCCACAUUGGAACUGAGACACGGUCCAAACUCCUACGGGAGGCAGCAGC